rnacentral:rRNA from 1 species
CCCUUAGAUGUCCUGGGCCGCACGCGCGUUACACUGAUGCAUUCAACGAGCUUAUAACCUUGGCCGAGAGGCCUGGGCAAUCUUGUUAACGUGCAUCGUGAUAGGGAUAGAUUAUUGAAAUUAUUAAUCUUGAACGAGGAAUUCCUAGUAAACGCAGAUCAUCAAUCUGCAUUGAUUACGUCCCUGCCCUUUGUACACACCGCCCGUCGCUCCUACCGAUUGGGUGUGCUGGUGAAAUGUUCGGAUCGGCCGUUUGUCGCGGUUUCCGCGUCAUGUGGCUGAGAAGUUCAUUAAACCCGCCCACCUAGAGGAAGGAGAAGUCGUAACA